UGCCAGGGACGGGGACUCCAGCGCUCCCAGUGCUCCUGUGUGUCACGCACGGAAGCUGCACACGCCGGGUACCAACACCACAUGGGGCUCUGAAGUGCGGGCACACGAACACGUCAGCCUAGUCCGUGACGCAGGAUUUGGGAUUACACUUCAGCUAAAUACCCUGGGGAGCUCUGUGCCACGGUGCUCAGUGAGCACCGGACAAACCCACUGAUUUCCAAGAGCUGAUCUGGAAAAAGCCCUGGAACACAGGGAAUUGUUCUCUCACAAAAGCUGCUGCCUCACUGUCCUUCUCACUCAAAACUAUCUUUGAACACCUAAGGAUGUCUGAUGCUCAGCACUGCACCAACCUAAGUCUUUACAGACCAGCUGCAGCUGAGCAGCCACAGCCUGCCCCUCAGACCUGUUGGUUUGGAUUACCUGAGGGAUAGACUGGCAAAAGAUAGCAGCUUCUUUUUCUCUGAGGUCUUGAAAUCAGGAUUUUGUGAAAAAGGCUUCAGGAAACAGGCAGAAGUGUCCAUGAUCCAGACACCAACACCCCUGAUCAUCCAGAAGCUGAACCACGAGGCCACCUCUGAUUCACUAACCACACCCUGGUUUAUUUGUUUUUCCAAGCUAUCCUCAGAGAGUAUGAAGGUGGUGGCAGACAGGCAAAAAGUUUUCUGGUAAUUUCUUUUGAUCCAGCACAUUUCCCACAGAUAAUCCUUCUAUAAAGCUCACCAAAUCUAAUACCUGCCAAGGCAAACCAUCAUGUAUUUUAACUGCCAAGUACAGGAACCUCAGUCACCCCAUUCCAACCACAAAAAAUAGAAGUCCACUUACUUGGCAGUUUUAAGUCUCUCCAGGCAAGUCAGUCUAGAAGAGCAGUCUCAGGAAUUCCAGAGCUGUUGUUAUCCAGUAAAUUUAAUAUCCAAUGCAAUGGGUAUGCUUCUCCAACUUGGCAAAACCACUUCUGAAGCCCUCACUACACACUGAGAAUCGCUUUAGACCAAAAAACCGUCACAAGGUCCCUGAAGCACCCUCACAGCUGAUCUUACUCAGGGCUGAUUCACUUCCAGCAUGCCUGAACACCUUCUACAGCCUGUACUGGACAUCAAUAAUUCUGCUUUCCAUUCUUUUGAUACAUAAUGUUGCAGUUCCCAGUGCUAGGUCAGGAAUUGCCAAUGCUCACUUUAUUUUGAGCUCAAGAUCUGUAUUUCACCCCUUGCUGUUCUGUGUGCAGAUUCCCUGCAAAACAGCAACUUGCAGCACCUAAGGGGCUCACAGGAGGAAUGAGGAGGAACUUGGGACAAGGGCCUGGACUCACACGACACAGGGAAUGGCUUCACACUUGCAGAGGGCAGGAUUAGAGGGGAUAUUGGGAAGAAAUUCUCAGCUGUGAGGGUGAUGAGGCCCUGGCACAGGAUGCCCAGAGAAGCUGUGGCUGCCCCUCCCUGGUAGUGUCCCAGGCCAUGUUGGACAGAGCUUGGAGCAACCUGGGACAGUGGAAGACAUCCCUGCCCAUGAGGGUGGAAAGGAGAUGAUCUUUCAAGUCCCUGCCCACCCAAACCAUUCUGGGAUUCUCUAGUUUUGACACACAAACUUCCCAGUUCUCCCUGGCCAGGUAACAGGGGCUCAGGCCUCUGCCCACUGGGAGCAAAUCCUUUCUGGAGUAUUCUCCAGUCACCAACGCUACAAACAUUUUCUUUUAGAAAGACAGUACUUCAACUUUUUCACAAAAGCUACUGCCUCACUUUCCUUCCUACUUCAGUCCUUCUCACUCAAAACUAUCUUUGAACACCUAAGGAUGUCUGAUGCUCAGCACUGCACCAACCUAAGUCUUUACAGACCAGCUGCAGCUGAGCAGCCACAGCCUGCCCCUCAGACCUGUUGGUUUGGAUUACCUGAGGGAUAGACUGGCAAAAGAUAGCAGCUUCUUUUUCUCUGAGGUCUUGAAAUCAGGAUUUUGUGAAAAAGGCUUCAGUUCAGCAGAGCCAUGGCAAACAGGACUGGAAUAGCUAUGGGAAAUGCAAUUUCACGGUACAUAGGGUGAUAAAUGAGUUGGUAAAACAGGUUAGACUAAAUGUGGAAUCUGUGUGAAGUUUCCAGCUAGCAAGGAGAGUGCCUGCAAUGUCACUCGAGGGCUCAUUCUUCAUUUCUUUGUCACCACUAUCUCCAAAACAUUGCCAUCACUGCUGCAGUUUUUCUGUCUAACUGGGCAAUUAGGAGCAGAUGAAUAUAGAAAAGGAAAGCCAAGUCCAGCCCAUGCCAAGCUGAGGCUACUUGGCUACUUCUGGGCCCUGACUUUAAGCCCUUCUGGUGGCCAGACUAGCUGCAGGGAGCUCCUCCAGUCACCACUGGUCCCGGCAGAACAUCGCAUGGAGUUAUAAAACCACUAUAAAAACUUGGCAUGAUUCUUCAAGGGGCCAAACUGAUUUUUUUGCUUUUCUCAAAAGAGCAAAACUAGCACCUGUGUGAGAUGCUGACAGGCAUCUCCUGGGACACGGGAGCCACACAGGCACUGCUCCUGCAGUGAAAACAACUUAGAGCUGGCUGCAAGCCAAGGGCACCAGGAGCCCUGUGCACGCUGCCCAGCCUCUGUCUCAGACCUGCCCCGGGCCUUGGUGCUGGGGCUGGGCUCAUGGAGGGACAAGGGCAGGGCACAGGGCCCUCAGCAGAGCCACCCUCAGCCCUGGGCACAGACUGCGCUAGGGACUGACAGAGUUCAGGUCACCAAAGUCUCUUCAAGUUCCAAGAAGUGGAUUGAAACAGAAUUUUUACUUGCAGAGACAAAAAAUUAAUAAAGCUGCUUAUCCUCAUGCACGGCUCGGGGGACAGGGGACUAACAGAGCUGCAGGUGCUCCCUCAAACCCACCCUAGGGCAUCCUUUGCACACUGGUGUGCCCAGCACCCCUGUCUGCAGAGCCAGCAGAUCUCCUGGGGGAAGGGGAGUCGCCCUGAGGGACUGGUAAAUACACAUUUUUCGUGUUAGUCUUUUGUUUACAGCAAAAUUGAUUAAAUUCUGCCCACAACUAUUUUGCUGGGGAAGAAGCAACAUCAUGGAGAAUACAUUGUCAGCCAGCCCUUACUCUCCUAAUCUGAAGAUAAUUCCCAACCCCUCUCUGUCAGAGGGCGGAUGGUUACAGGAAAUGCCAGGACGAUCCAGAACUGAUGUAACGAGUUUGAUGAUUGGGAAACUCCAAUCAAUUUCGUUUACUGAUCCCCAGCAGAAAUCAGAAGAGAUCACGGCUUCCAGGUUAAAGACCUUUGCUCAGCUUUCUGCUGCUCUGAGUUAAUCUUUCUCUACCCAGCCAUCGGAGUGACCAGCACAGGUAAUCUUUAACCAGUGGCCAUUGACUGACAAGGAUCACAGCAUUUCUCCUCUGGGAUCCGAGCUGUCCCAGCACUUGUAGCCCUUACCUCUGUCCAUGAGACUGUGGUAAAUAUGCCCUUUGAAUGCUGCAGUACUCUGGGAUAAGCUGACAAACACCACCUUUUGUCUACUCUGAGCCCAAGAAUUCCUGUAGCAAUGUCCUCUCAGAAAUUAUAUGGCCAUAUCCAAAAUUGAGUCAGCACAAUCACUGUCAUUAAGAAAGCAAAGGGAGAAAUCCAAUUCCACUGUUGGAUAUGUGUAAUUUUUCUCCAUAAAAGAUUCUGGCCUAAAUCUUUGACCCAGAUUUGUCUGGAAGUUUAAGCUAAGGGAGCCAUGUCCACAGCUGGUGGGACAGUGGCAGGAUUUUUCCAAAGAUAAAAUAGCCAGCCCCGGAUCAGUUGAAGAGUAUUAUAUGCUGGAGUAAAGCCACAAAGAUACAGCUCAGGUUUUUACCCCUGCAGUUAUUCCUUCAGUUUUGAAGCUGUUCUUCCACUGUUUCUGCACAGAAAAGAUACCAUCCCUGUGACUUCCAUUUCCCUCAAUAUAUCUUCCACAUUAUAUAUAAGAUAAAUGAGAGGAAAGAGCUUUUGUAGGGAUCAAAUCGUGUCCUUUGUCUAGUGACACCUUAUUCACCAGGAACUCUGCAUAUAAAAUGGAAGCACAGAAUGAUUUAGGCUGGAAGGGACUUUUGGAGAUCACAGGACUGAGUCCUCUGCUCUGAGCAUUGGCAGCCUCACAGUUAGACUGCACUACAAAGUUAGACAAUUUUGCUUGGAAUAUUUCCAAGGGAAGAAUCUGGCCCUCAGGUCUAUCUGCAAUGCAUGUUGCAUUAUGUGCCCCUGUGUGACCUUUAGUAACAUUUAACCAAACCAGUUCCUUUUCUUUUUCCAGGAAUUUCCCAAUACUUUGGCAUUUCAUUUCAGAGAACUGGACCCCAACCAGUCUGCAGCAGUACUGGAUGUUGCAAUGCAGUUCCAGACUUUCCCCAGGCUCCCUGUGGAGUGACCAGUGCUUCACCUACAGUUGCAGAGCCCCAUUUUGAGGGGAACUGGGUUUUUUCCCCCCAAAAAACACAACACACAAAUACCAAGUAAGUGGUGUUUCUGCUGUGAUUAAAAGUAGCACGUUAGGUUUUUUCUACUACGUGUUUUGGACAACAUGUGGCACUUUGGUUUUGGGUUGGUUGUUUUCUUUUUAAUGUGAGGUCUUCUUGACCUAAUAUGGUCCUCUUUUUCUGAUUAAGCAUAUUAUCUGAUAUCUUCUGUAGACUUCAAAAGCACAUCCAUACUUUCAGAGUAGCGUAACAAGUUUGCACACAGGAUGCUGAUAUAAUUGUACAGGUCAUUUUUAGAUACCUACUUUCCCCAAACCUUGUUCUACUACUAGGGCAGACUCUGAACUAGUAGAAGUGGUAUUUUUGUCAUCUUUACACUGGAUGCGUGUACCAGUCCCAAACAAGGAAUUACUAUUUACAGAACAGGACUGGGAGUAGAAAUCAGCAUUUCAGGAAACAGUAGAUUAUUCUUGCCAUGACAGAUCUGCAGUCCAAGACAGUGUUAAGCAAAAAAAGAUGUGUCAUCAACUGGUAACAAAGACGGUGUGAGGAGGAGAGAACAAGACACAGAAUGUUCUCCAAAUUUGGUUUCAUGGUGGUUUUCUGCUGCUGGAUGGACACGUCCAGCUAAAAUCAGUAAAAUUACCUGGUUCCUCACUUUUGUGAAGUAUUUAUAUUGAAAACUUUGCUUUCUAAACCCCCAAAAUACUACUUCAGAUUUUUCCAAAACGUUCUAACGGAACAGAAGUAUGGUAAUGAAAGUAAGCAAUGAAGCACCUGUUAGUUAACUAGCAAAUGUUCUCAUAUCCAAAAUGUGCUUUACUUUAUGUUCAGAGAAAAUCUCAGGUUCAAAUCCUAUUUUAGCCUUCACAAAAAAAAGUGAAAUUCAUCAGGCCCUAAACUGGAGGUUUAUGCAAUGGUCUCGUUGUUGAAUGAGGUCCUGGGAGGUGUGUACCAUUCCUGGGUUUGCCAGUGGUGUUCAGACAGGCUCAACUGAAGCCAGGCUUUCCCCCCUACCUCCUAGGUGUGCUGGAAAAAGUAAAACCUGAACAUUACCAAGAAAAGUAGACAGUACAUCAAAAUCUAAGAAAGAAAAAAGAUUGGCAAGCCUCAGCAGUGAACAUGAGAUGAGCACUGAGGAACUGAUGAAAUCAGUCUCACUGGCAGAAGUAAGCAAUUAAUAUGCAGCCAGAGUAAACACUCUUCAUCUCAGGGUUCAGCAAAACAAAGAGCUGAAACCCCCUUAUCUUUUGCAUUUUUCCCUCCCCACCUGUGUUCUCUGAAGGAACAGAGAAAAUUGAAGUCUCAGAGCUUUUUUCCAUUCUUUAGUCUGACUAAAGGUGACUCCAGCUCAGUGCAGCAAGGGUCAUCUCCCUCCCCCAGAUCAAUAUUUUAAUAUGACUUAUCAGAGCAAGAAUGAAUUGUUUACUUUGAAACCUCAGGAUCCCAUAAAGGGAGAGGGAAAGGUGUCCACUGGAAGCAGAGGCUUGCAGCAGCUGCCCACUGCUGGGAACUCAGAAAAGAAACCAGGACUCCAAAGAUUCGAGUCCAGACAGUCAGCAAAAUGUCCUGCGAGAGAAUCCCAGUUCUGCCAAGCCCUAACAACACACCAGAGGAUCCUUUGGCUGCUGUCUCCGAUGGUCUUUGAAACCCCCCCUGCUGAAGUCUGCAGUGUGCCUCCAUCACUGCUUCCACAGGCUAAGGACCUGCUCCCAGAGCUGUGGAGUGUGACAAUGGUGUUUGUGUCCAGUCUAUCAAACGCCAUUAUCACACUAAAUAGUUCCUGGCAGACAAGGCAUCGGGUCAGGAAGGUUUGGGACCUCUGGCAGUACAUCUUCCCACUGUGCUGAGAAAUAAACAACUGUGGUACGUGCACAA